rnacentral:rRNA from 1 species
UACAGAGGGUGCGAGCGUUAAUCGGAAUUACUGGGCGUAAAGCGUGCGUAGACGGCUAUCUAAGUCGGGUGUGAAAGCCCCGGGCUCAACCUGGGAACCGCGCUUGAGACUGGCACGCUAGAGUUCGGGAGAGGAUGGUGGAAUUCCCAGUGUAGAGGUGAAAUUCGUAGAUAUCAGGAGGAACACCGGUGGCGAAAGCGAUCAUCUGGGCCGUAACUGACGCUAAUAGCGCGAAAGCGUGGGGAGCAAACAGG